rnacentral:rRNA from 1 species
GACGGGGGCCCGCACAAGCGGAGGAACAUGUGGUUUAAUUCGAUGAUACGCGAGGAACCUUACCCGGGCUUGAACUGCCGGCGGACGAUACAGAGAUGUUGAGGCCCUUCGGGGCGCCGGUGGAGGUGCUGCAUGGUUGUCGUCAGCUCGUGCCGUGAGGUGUCGGCUUAAGUGCCAUAACGAGCGCAACCCUUUUCAUUAGUUGCCAUCAGGUAAUGCUGGGCACUCUGAUGAUACUGCCACCGUAAGGUGUGAGGAAGGUGGGGAUGACGUCAAAUCAGCACGGCCCUUACGUCCGGGGCUACACACGUGUUACAAUGGGGCAUACAGAAGGCCGGUGCAUGGUAAUGUGCAUCCAAUCUUAAAAGUGUCCCUCAGUUCGGAUUGGGGUCUGCAACCCGACCCCAUGAAGCUGGAUUCGCUAGUAAUCGCGCAUCAGCCAUGGCGCGGUGAAUACGUUCCCGGGCCUUGUACACACCGCCCGUCAAGCCAUGAAAGCCGGGGGCGCCUGAAGUCCGUGACCGCGAGGGUCGGCCUAGGGUGAAACCGGUGAUUGGGGCUAAGUAAGUAACAAGGGUAGG